rnacentral:lncRNA from 1 species
AUCUCUCCUCACUCACGCCUCUCUCCAUCUCGCUCUAUCUUCAGCCGAGUUCUCCCUCAAAAUCAGUCGAGCUCAGCCCCUUCCUCUUUCUUUCUCGAUCUGUUCGUCCGAGGCGAGAAGGGCGAGCCCAAAUUUCUCCCUGAUAUUGAAAUCGCCUCUGUCGCCGCUGCAACAUCCGGCGAACAGCCGGGUCUCGCUCGACCUCCUGCGUCGGCUCUUCUUCCCAAUCUGCUGAAGGGAAGCAGAAGUCCUAAUCUUCCUCGCGGAUUUUGAACCACCUCCCUCAGCUCGGCGCCGCGGCGUUCUGUGAACCCGGUGAAUUUCAGUCUCCGUCCAGUUCUCUGUCCACCUCCGGCGAACAGCCGAUUCUCGUUCGUCUUCAGAAUCUCCCUCCGUCGUCGAGCCCUAAGUUUCAAAAAGGGCAGAACGCCGUUGCCGAGCGUCCGCUGCUGCUGCGCUCGAGCCCUUGCUCGGCCAUGGUUCAGGUCAGCUGCUGUUGUGUGAUUUCCGGCGAGCAGGGGAGGGUCCACCUUUGCUGUCGCUGUUCCCGGCGAAGGGUGUCGCCUUCGUUGUUCUCCGGGGUCGAUGGGGUUCGAGUUGCGCCCCACGCCGCCGCUGCUGCCGUUCUCGGACUUCUCCGUCGAAAGUCUGCCGCCUCCGUCGAUUCCCCGAGCCCCGACGUCGCUGCUGUAACUCAGAUUCCGACAAGGCAGCUCGCUGUCGUCUUCCUUGAGCUCGACUAUACAGGGCAGUCGGCCCUAUUCCUUAAGCUAAGUUCUUUAGUUUCAUUCUUCCUUUUUAUCGAUUCGAAAACGUGAACUAGACAAGGUGAAAUCUUCUUGUUUUGCAUAACUCAAAUUAUGCUCGUUUACUCCUAUGUAAUCUGUCACUUGUUCAUGAUCGCAUAGUUGGGUGUUUACUAAGUUCAAGAUUCUUAUAACUUGCUAUUCUAGAGUGCAUCAGAUUGUGAAACUUAUGAUCACUCUACUGUACGACAUAUCUUCCCUAUUUGAUGCAGAUGAACUGUGAUAUGUAAGAUAUGGAUGUGAACUGAAUUGAAUAUUAGGAUAGCAUGAUUACCUUGAAUGUUUGUGCUUUUGGUUGGCUGCGGUGAUGUUGAGUUCAAUGAGAAGAUAGCUGAAAACAAAUUGUGUAUUUUGUUUGCUUAACAAUGCAGGAGGAACUUAGGAAGAAACUGGAGAGGAUCAGGUCAAUCUUACCUCUCGAAUCUUGCAGCAAUUAUGACAACUUCCUCAAGCUGUUGAUGCGUAAAGAGAGAAGGAUUUGGUGGGUGAUAUAAUAAGGAGUGAAGUUGGUGGCUGUAAAGGGAGGAAAGCAUGGCUUUUGGUGGUUGAAGAGGUGGGGAACAAAGGAUGGUGGCAGCACACUUAUUUCUUUCCACUAACUCUAAUGAUUUUCCUUUAUUGCUUUAAUGAUUUUCCUUUAUUGAUUCCUUGUCGGCUGAUGGUAUUAAACAAGGAAUGGUGUUGCAUUUGAUGUGUAGUAAUGUGGGAUAUGGCUGAAGUAAAGCUCUUGCCUCUUGGGAAUUAUAAACUUGUAGUACAGUAACGCGCUUAAUGAAAUACUAAUCUUGAAUUCUUACUAAUGUAGCGUAUAUAUAUAUAUACUCGCACGAUAUUUGAUUUCUUGCUUGCUAGCAUCGAUGGACUGUAAAAUAAAUCUAAAUUAAAUCCGUAGAUUUAAUUCUCCUCACAAGCCGGAAAUAAUCCACGACUUAAGUAAUUAUAAAUAAUAGAAUCGAUAGUCUCAUCUCGCUUAAUUAAUUAACGUGACUUUGCUAAGUCAGUUAUAACUCUGAAAUAAUAUCAUUGACUGCUUUAAUAAUAUGAAUUCAGGAUCAUAAGCUGAAUUCAUAUCAGGAUAAUAAACGUUUUCAUUCACUGAUGAACAAAAAUAAACACUCAUUACUGGAUUUAAAAUAUAUAAAAGAGCGGGUCACUACAUAAACUGAGCCCAAUUGAAAAUUAAUGGCCCAAACUGAAACAAAAAUAAACAAAAACUCGGCCCAAUACUCAAACCUAGCCUAGCCCAAAACUCCCUCCCUUCUUCUCCCCCCAUCAGCCGCACACACACUCACAACUGCAGAUAAUUGCGUUUGUCCCACGAUUUGUUGCCGUUUCCAGUUAGCCCGUUGAGUAGCCUACUUUAGUAACUCCUUCUCUCUCUAGCGGUGAAUCUUCAACAGCCCUGAUACCUCCGGGACUUAGGGACGACGACGAGCGCCGUCGACUCCCUCUCUCUCUCUGAAUCAGUCCGGCGAGCAACCAUGAAGGUCGUCGCCGUCCUCUCCUUCGGUUCUCUCUCAAAUCUCCCCCCCUGUUAACAGAUCUGGAGGGCGCGGUCAGUGGCUCCACGCCACCACCGUCCGAGUCGUCUCCCUCCUUGGAAACGGCGAGAUCGCCGCUCCCUCCCUCUCUCUCUGCUCUCCCUCCGUCCGUGGCCGGACGACAGCGGCAGGGCCGCCGCGCCCUGACCUCCACAAAUCCCCAGCCCAGACCAGCCACCGCCCCAGCCCCUGUUCCCGAUUGCCGAAGUGUCGCAGCCCGCCUUAACUAAGGAUAGUUAAGCCGAGUGAUCUACGACUAGGGAUGGGGUUAAAGAAUAAGGGGAAGAAAGGGGCAUCAUUUGGAACCGUAAAUCUUACUCAACUUAAGAAAACUCGUCGUAUCUACUCAUUAAUACUCAAUUGAAAAGAGUCUAUGAAAGACAACAUAAAAACUUAAUUAAUACUCCCUCCGUCCGCGAUAUCGUUUCCACAUUUGCCAUUUCGGUCCGUCCGCGAUAUCGUUUCCACUUCCAUUUAUAGAAGUAGGGUCCACAAACUUCCACUCACAAUAAUAGUGGGACCCAAACUCCACUCACUACAUAUGCACUACUAUCCACUAAUUUUCUUAAAACCCGCGCCGUCCACAAUGUGAAAACGAUAUCGCGGACGAAGGGAGUAUCAUUAAUCAAGUUAUACAUCAGAUGAAACCAUUAUCUUAAGACUCAAAGUAUGACAUAACAUACUAUAACAUCAACAACAUCUUGCAGCGGAAAGUAGCUAGACAUAUGUAUGAAGACAUAUUCUAGACAGGUUAACUAUUUAUUAACAACCCUGGAGACUCCGCCCAUUGCAGCACCAUCACCACAUCAGCUCAACCUGCACAUUUAGAAAACAUAUGCAGGGCUGAGUACAAAAGCACUCAGUGAACACAUNAAGAGCCAAUUAAAUAAAAGACUGGCCCAAUUCGAAUUUAAAUAUGAAAGCCCAAGCAAUUAAAAUUGGAAGCCCAAUUUCAUUAAAAAUAAUCUCAAAAUUUCGGCCCACAUAAAUUAGAGGAAAGCCCAAACAAUUAAAAUUAAUCAAGCCCAAAGAAUUAAAUGAAAAGGCCCAAUCACAGCCCAAAUACUAAAAUAAAUAAAGCCCAAAUCCUUCUCCCCCAAACAUCUCGGUUCUCUCUCUCAGCAUAACACUCUCGUUCUUUCUCUCUUUAUUCCAAAAAGUCGAGCUCUCUCUCCCUUCAAGAAACCGCUUUCUCUCUUUUUCUUCUCUCAAAAUUGUCGGCCAUGCUCUAUUUCACUUCCUCUUGCUCAAAAUCCCAUCUCUCUCUCUCUCAAAGGAAACACACUGCUGCUAUCUCUCCUCACUCACGCCUCUCUCCAUCUCGCUCAAAAUCAGUCGAGCUCAGCCGAGUUCUCUCUCUCAAAAAUCACUCACGCCUCUCUCCAUCUUCCUCUUCAGCCGAGUUCUCCCUCAAGAUCAGUCGAGCUCAGCCCCUUCCUCUUUCUUUCUCGAUCUGUUCGUCCGAGGCGAGAAGGACGAGCCCAAUUUCUUCCUGAUAUUGAAAUCGCCUCUGUCGCCGCUGCAACAUCCGGGUCUCGCUCGACCUCCUGCGUCGGCUCUUCUCACUCUCAAAGAAACACACACACAGACGCACAUCUCACCCUCUCACGCGAUCUGCUGCCGCUGCCUGAGACCCGCGAAGGAUCCGGCGCAACCGCCGCCGACAAAUGUUGCUGUUGCCGCUGCUGUCUGAGAUCGGUGGUCCGCCUGCUGGAGGAACGCCGCUGCCGUCAGCUCGUCCGAAGUCGCCGCCAACUACCGCUGCCGUUUCGCCGGAGUCGCGGCCUGGAGCUGCUGCAGCUCGAGCCCUUGCUCGGCCAUGGUUCAGGUCAGCUGCUGUUGUGUGAUUUCCGGCGAGCAGGGGAGGGUCCACCUUUGUUGUCGUUGUUCCCGGCGAAGGGUGUUGCCUUCGUUGUUCUCCGGGGUCGAUGGGGUUCGAGUUGCGCCUCACGUCGCCGCUGCUGCCGUUCUCGGACUUCUCCGUCGAAAGUCUGCCGCCUCCGUCGAUUUCCCGAGCCCCGACGUCGCUGCUGUAACUCGGAUUCCGACAAGGCAGCUCGCUGUCGUCUUCCUUGAGCUCGACUAAACAGGGCAGUCGGCCCUAUUCCUUAAGCUAAGUUCUCUAGUCAUUCUCCUUUUAUCGAUUCGAAAACGUGAACUAGACAAGGUGAAAUCUUCUUGUUUUGCAUAACUCAAAUUAUGCUCGUUUACUCCUAUGUAAUCUGUCAUUUGUUCAUGAUCGCAUAGUUGGGUGUUUACUAAGUUCAAGAUGCUUAUAACUUGCUAUUCUAGAGUGCAUCAGAUUGUGAAACUUAUGAUCUCUCUACUGUAGGACAUAUCUUCCCUAUUUGAUGUUGAUGCAGAUGAACUGUGAUAUGUAAGAUAUGGAUGUGAACU